rnacentral:rRNA from 1 species
AGCUUGCUUGGGAGAGUAAAGUGGCGCACGGGUGAGUAACGCGUGGGUAACCUACCUUUGAAUCUGGAAUAACCAGCCGAAAGGCUGACUAAUACCGGAUAUGGUUUUAGGACUUAGGUUCUCUAAAUUAAAGGUGACCUCUUCAUGAAAGUUGCCGUUCAUAGAUGGGCCCGCGUACCAUUAGCUAGUUGGUGGGGUAAUGGCCUACCAAGGCGACGAUGGUUAGCUGAUUUGAGAGGAUGAUCAGCCACACUGGGACUGAGAUACGGCCCAGACUCC